rnacentral:rRNA from 1 species
UACGGGGGGAGCAAGCGUUGUUCGGAUUUACUGGGCGUAAAGGGCGCGUAGGCGGCCACCGCAAGUCGACUGUGAAAUCUCCGGGCUUAACCCGGAAAGGUCAGCCGAUACUGCGGGGCUAGAGUGCAGAAGGGGCAACUGGAAUUCUCGGUGUAGCGGUGAAAUGCGUAGAUAUCGAGAGGAACACCUGCGGCAAAGGCGGGUUGCUGGGCUGACACUGACGCUGAGGCGCGAAAGCUAGGGGAGCGAACGGG